AGAGUUUGAUCCUGGCUCAGGACGAACGCUGACGGUGUGCUUUAGGCAUGCAAGUCGAACGAGAAAGCCCUUCGGGGUGAGUAAAGUGGCGAACGGGUGAGUAACACGUGGGCAACCUGCCCCUCGCAGGGGGACAACCGGAGGAAACUCCGGCUAAUACCCCGUAAGCUCUACACGCCGCAUGGCGAGUAGAGGAAAGGUAGCUUCGGCCAUCCGGCGAGGGAUGGGCCCGCGGUGCAUUAGCUAGUUGGUGGGGUAACGGCCCACCAAGGCGACGACGGGUAGCUGGUCUGAGAGGAUGGUCAGCCACAUUGGAACUGAGACACUGUCCAGACUCCUACGGGAGGCUGCAGUCGAGAAUCUUGGUCAAUGCACGAAAGUGUGAACCAGCGACGCCGCGUGAAGGAUGAAGGACCUCUGGUUCGUAAACUUCUUUUAGGGGGGAAGAAUGCGGUUAACACCGUUUGACGGUACCCUCUGAAUAAGCCACGGCUAACUACGUGCCAGCAGCCGCGGUAAUACGUAGGUGGCAAGCGUUGUCCGGAUUUACUGGGCGUAAAGCGUAUGCAGGCGGAUACUUAAGUAGGAAGUGAAAGGUGGGAGCUCAACUCCCACAUUGCUCCCUAUACUGGGUGUCUUGAGUGGCGGAGAGGGAGAUGGAACGACACGUGUAGCGGUGAAAUGCGUUGAUAUGUGUCGGAACACCAAUGGCGAAAGCAAUCUCCUGGACGCAAACUGACGCUGAGAUACGAAAGCCAAGGUAGCAAACAGGAUUAGAUACCCCGGUAGUCC
rnacentral:rRNA from 1 species